UACAGAGGGUGCGAGCGUUGUCCGGAAUCGACUGGGCGUAAAGGGCGCGUAGGCGGCGCGGUAAAGCCGUGCGGUGAAAGCCCGGGGCUCAACCCCGGGUCGGCCGUGCGGACUGCCGGGCUAGAGCACUGUAGAGGCAGGUGGAAUUCCGGGUGUAGCGGUGGAAUGCGUAGAGAUCCGGAAGAACACCGGUGGCGAAGGCGGCCUGCGUGGGCAGUGAGCUGACGCUGAGGCGCGACAGCGUGGGGAGCAAACAGG
rnacentral:rRNA from 1 species